rnacentral:rRNA from 1 species
UACGGAGGGUGCAAGCGUUAAUCGGAAUUACUGGGCGUAAAGCGCACGUAGGCGGCUUAGCAAGUCGGAUGUGAAAGCCCUCGGCUCAACCAAGGAAGUGCAUCCGAAACUGCUGAGCUUGAGUACUUAAGAGGAUCGCGGAAUUCCCGGUGUAGAGGUGAAAUUCGUAGAUAUCGGGAGGAACACCAGUGGCGAAGGCGGCGAUCUGGGAAGAUACUGACGCUGAGGAGCGAAAGCGUGGGGAGCGAACAGG